GCCAGGAAAACUCUACAUCUCUCCUCGCACGGAUUACAUCUUCAGUUAACGUGGGGACAGCGGAGCAAGCACACACUGCAGUGUUAAGUAUGGCGUCCUCGGCUGUUCAAGUCCAAGAUCCCUUCCAGACUCUCACUGUCCUCUGUCGGGAACCUUUUUGGAAUGCAACGCGAGUAUGGGCGUCCGAGGUACCCGAGAUGGGCGCGUGUCUGGAAAGGACGGCGUUGGUGUGGGCGCCGAGUGUCCUGCUGUGGGCGUUCGGGUUACCGCGUCUCGCCCAGCUCAGGAGGCGCCCGUCCGACCCCGCUCCAUGGACAAUGCUCGUGAGCUGCAAGGUGUUCUUCACGGCGAUCCUGCUGGCGUCGACGGCCACCCAGCUGGCUUGGGCGGCGGCUGGAGGAGAGAACAUUCCUCCGGCAGAGCACGUCGAAGGGGCGGUUCUCUCGGCGACUUAUAGCCUUCACAUGAUGCUCAUCCUGGUGGGGAGGAGGAAAGGUGCACGGAGCAGCGGGUUCAUCUGGCUAUAUUGGCUGUUCUCGUUAGUGUGCAGCCUCCCUCAACUCUAUGCUUUCUUCGGCGGAUUAAAUGGAAGAAUCCAGGGUGUUCCUCGCACGGUCGCCGCUACCUUCGUCAUACAGUUCCUCUGUCACGUCGCGCUGUUCCUCGCCAGCUGCUUCAGCGACUCCCGCUCUGCCAACGAGAAAGGCGAGGCAUCGGAGAAGCCGUCUCCGCUGCUGCAGGCGUCUCUCCCAAGCCGCCUCUUCUUCUGGUGGACUCUGCCCCUCGUCUGGCGCGGCUGGAGACGCCCCUUGACAUCGGAUGACCUCUGGGACAUCGAGCCCCAAAAUUCCUCUUCGACGCUCGCGGUCCAGUGGGAUAAUGCUAUCAGCAGGGACAAGGAAUCUACUUCACCAGCAUACAAAACGCUAAAGAAAGCCCGCUACGAACGGGUCACGACGCCAGACAGUGAAGUCUCUAUCCUGCUCUGCAUGUGGAGACUGGCGAAGGGCGCCUUCCUCGCCUCCCUGCUCUUCCAUUCCUUGUCGGAGGGCUUGCAGUUCCUCACUCCUCGGAUCCUCAGUCGAAUCAUCAAGUUCAUGGCUGACGGCGACGAACCCGAGUGGCAUGGCUACUUCUACGCGGUCUCGCUCUUCCUGUCCUGCGGCGUGAGUUCCCUCCUGAGAAACGUCUUCAGCUUUAGGAUAUACUGUCUUUCGACGAGGAUCAGAUCAGUAAUCAUGACGGCUGUCUAUCGCAAGGCUCUUUCCCUCUCGGGAACGGCUCGGCGCGACUCAAGCGUUGGCGAGAUCGUUAACCUAAUGGCAGUCGAUGCACAAAUCAUUGGCCGCAUUUUUGCAGUGAUUUGCUACCUCGUUACCUUGCCUGUGACAAUCAUCGUCUCCAUCAUCUUGCUUUGGCAACAACUCGGUGCGAGUGUGUUGGCCGGAGUGGCGGUGCUGGUUCUCCUGGUGCCGCUGACUAGCUUCUUGGCCAAUAGGGUCAAGGUUCUUCAACAAGCCAAUACGAAGUUCGGAGAUCAACGAGUGAAGUUGAUGAACGAGAUCAUUAGUGGAAUUAAGGUAUUGAAACUAUAUGCAUGGGAAGGAGCCUUCUCUAGCAUGGUAGACAAAAUCAGAAAAAAAGAAAUGAAUCUUCAACAGAAAGUGGCUCUGUGUAAAGCCCUCAAUUCUUUCUUAUCUGGCACAUCACCAUACACAGUCGCUCUGGCCACCUUUACUACAUACUUGUUAGUAUCUCCGGAGAACAUCCUUGAUGUAGAAAAAGCCUUUGUGUCUAUAUCAUUAUUCAAUAUCAUGAGGAUACCAAUCUGUAAGCUGCCCAUCAUCAUCUCCGACAUAAUCCAGGUAACUGUAGCUUUAAAGCGAGUCCAGAAGUUCACCAGUGCAGAGGAACUGGAUCCAACAGCUGUAUGCAGAGAUCAUUCUGAAGCUAAUGCUUUAGUCAUUCGACGCGGCAAAUUCACUUGGGCAGGCGACGAAGACCAGGCAACCUGGGAGUUGAAAGACAUCAAUCUGGAAGUUGGUCAUGGGAAACUGGUGGCAGUGGUGGGAUCAGUAGGUGCUGGCAAGAGUUCUCUCAUCUCGGCACUCCUGGGGGAGAUGAGGAAGCUUGAGGGCAAAGUUGUUGUCAAUGGGCGUGUGGCAUAUGUGUCCCAACAGGCGUGGCUCCAGAAUGCCACCUUGAGGGACAACAUCAUCUGGGGCCAGCCUUUCGAUGAGAAGAGGUACCGGCAGGUAUUGACUGUAUGCGCCCUCCAGCAAGACCUUAACAUGUUCCCUGGAGGCGACAUGACAGAGAUUGGAGAAAAGGGCAUCAACCUGAGCGGUGGUCAAAAGCAGCGCGUGUCCUUGGCUCGUGCUGCCUACAGUGAUGCUGACGUCUACUUGCUUGAUGACCCUUUGAGUGCUGUCGAUGCCCACGUUGGUCGAUUCAUUUUCGAUAAUGUUAUCGGACCUCAGGGUAUUUUGAAAGACAAGACUCGCCUUCUGGUGACCCAUGCUGUGACCUUUCUACCUCGGGUGGAUGAGGUGAUAGUGAUUAAGGACGGCCAAUUGUUAGAGAAAGGCACAUACAACAGCCUUAUAGCCAAACAGGGAGACUUCGCCAACUAUGUGCUGCGCCACCAAACUGAAAACGCAGAAGAAAAAUCCGAAAAAGAUCUGAAGCUGUCGGGAUCUGAUCCUCUCCUUCGUCAGGUGUCAUCGGAGUCCACCAAGUCUUCUGUUAACAACAGGGACUUGCCGCUGCUCACUAUGAAGAUAAAUAAUGAUGAAAAAGAAGAGACAGAAAAGCUGCGAAGUAAAGGGAGAGUUAGUAGCAAAACGAUCAAAGGACAAACGCUAGUGCAAGAGGAAAUAUCUGAAACAGGGAAGAUAUCUCGACACGUCUACCUAAUAUAUGGAAAAUCUAUAGGUCUAGUUUAUGCUGUGGUUCCUCUGGUCUUUAUAACUCUUGGACAGACUAGUAACGUUAGCAGUAAUGUAUGGCUGUCAAAAUAUUCCUUCACAAGUGCAAACGAUUUAUGUGGCGCUAACGUUACUUCGAGCAGCUUCGCCGUCACCCGAGAAAUGUUCCUCCUUGGCUAUGGGGCCUUUGGAGUCGCGCAAGCCUUGUUCCUGUUCCUGGGAAUGCUGUCGCUAAUGCAGGGAUGCCUAAGGGCGUCGCGGGCCCUCCACCAGCGCCUUUUGCAGAGCGUCGUGCGUCUCCCCAUGAGCUUCUUCGACACCAACCCCAGCGGGAGGAUCAUCAACAGGUUCAGCAAGGAAAUCAGCGUCUUGGACAUCAUCCUGCCGGACGUCGUCUGCGCUUCCUUCGACCGCAUCGUGCAGGUUAUCAUAAAACUAAUCAUGAUCAUCGCCGCCAUCCCUGCGGCUGGCGUCUUCAUGGUACCGAUCAUGGCCCUUUACUACGUCGUCCAGUCGUUCUAUAUCGCCUCGUCAAGACAACUCAAGCGCAUUGCGUCCGUCUCAAGAUCCCCUGUGUACUCUCACUUCAGCGAGACUCUUCAAGGAGUGUCCAUAAUCCGAGCAUUUAAAAAGCAACAAGAAUUCUACGAGGAGUCUCUUCGUAAAGUCGAUUUAUCCUUGAAAGCUGUGUAUGCCAAUGCCGCUAUCAACAGGUGGGUGACAGUGAACCUUGAGACCGUAGGGCAUUUGAUUACCUUUACGACGGCCAUGGUGGGCGUGGUCGGGAGGGAGUACGUCGGCGCCAGCCUCCUGGGACUCGCCCUGUCCUACGCGCUCAAUGUAGGUGGCGUGCGAGGCUUAAAUGACCUUGGGUGGUGGUGCGGCUGAUCGGCGACCUCGAAAUGCUGGUGCGCGUCUCAUCUGAAAUGGAGGCCAGUAUUGUAUCCGUGGAAAGGAUCAACGACUAUUUGGAGAGAGAACAGGAGGCAGCCUGGACCACGAGCGACACCCACUCCGUGUGGCCCG
rnacentral:misc_RNA from 1 species